rnacentral:rRNA from 1 species
CCUACGGGAGGCAGCAGUGGGGAAUAUUGGGCAAUGGAGGCAACUCUGACCCAGCAACGCCGCGUGAAUGAUGAAGGCUUUCGGUUUGUAAAGUUCUUUUCGAAGGGAAGAACAAAGUUCCGUAACCCUUGGAUUAAGCCCCGCCUAAUAACGUGCCAGAAGCUGCGGGAAUACGUAGGAGGCAAGCGUUAUCCGGAUUGACUGGGCGUAAUGGGUGGGUAGGUGGGAAGGCAAGUCAGUAGGGAAACCCCAAGGCUCAACCGUGGAACUGCUACUGAAACUGUUCUACUUGAGUGCAGGAGAGGUAACCGGAAUUCCUAGUGUAGCGGUGAAAUGCGUAGAUAUUAGGAAGAACACCAGUGGCGAAGGCGGGUUACUGGACUGUAACUGACACUGAGGCGCGAAAGCGUGGGGAGCAAACAGGAUUAGAUACCCCAGUAGUC